rnacentral:lncRNA from 1 species
GGCUAUUUAACCUUUGGACUAGUGUAAAUGAUGGUUUUGAAAAAUAAAAGAGUAGGUAAAAUCCCAAUUCAUCUAAAGAUGUUAAUUGGAUUUUGUUAAUAGUCAAGGAAAGCCAUAGUAGAUAUAACGAUUAUUUUAUGACCCUCAAUAUUUUGAUCAACUUUUAGACAAAUAGAUCGGCGCUAUGCCGUGUAAAAUAAAACUUUAAAUUGCAUAGACCUCGUUUAAUAAAUAUUAUUAUCCUUAGAAAUCGAGGCGUGUCAUUUAGCGAAUUUUUCAUGGCACUCGCAAAGUUGCAAAUGUGUAGUUGCUUUAGACGCGAUAUUUUAAUAAUUUGCCUUCCUAAACUGGGGUACGCAUUUAUGUGACCGAAAUCCAAAUCUCAACAAUGUUAGAUAAAAUAUGUCGAGAGCCGCGGG